rnacentral:rRNA from 1 species
GUGGGGAAUAUUGGGCAAUGGGCGAAAGCCUGACCCAGCAACGCCGCGUGAGGGAAGAAGGCCUUCGGGUUGUAAACCUCUGUCCUUGGUGACGAAAAAAAUGACGGUAGCCAAGGAGGAAGCCCCGGCUAACUACGUGCCAGCAGCCGCGGUAAUACGUAGGGGGCGAGCGUUGUCCGGAAUUACUGGGCGUAAAGGGUGCGUAGGUGGCCUUUUAAGUUGGAUGUGAAAUACCCGGGCUUAACUUGGGGGGUGCAUCUAAUACUGGAGGGCUAGAGUGCAGGAGAGGGAAGCGGAAUUCCUAGUGUAGCGGUGAAAUGCGUAGAUAUUAGGAGGAACACCAGUGGCGAAGGCGGCUUUCUGGACUGUAACUGACACUGAGGCACGAAAGCGUGGGGAGCAAACAGGAUUAGAUACCCUAGUAGUCC